CAAACCCACAAAUCCUCUUCAUUUUGAGUCCAUUUCAAGCCAAGAUUCAAUCUUGCCAAUGCCUAACCUUCCUACUGAACUCAUCAAUAACAUAUCGACUAAAGUAGCAAGUCUACCAAACACAAAACUACGUAGUCUCUUUUCUCCACAGCAAAAUUCCCAACUCCAAAGAGUUCUAAUUUCUGCAACCCAAAUGGAACCCCAAGAAGAUGAAGCCUUCACAAAGCCUGCUAUUUCAAGCAAAGAUUCAAUCUUGCCAAUGCCUAACCUUCCUACUGAACUCAUCACUGAAAUCUUGUUAAAGCUUCCUGUCAAAUCUCUCUUGAAAUUCAGGUCUGUUUCUAAAUCUUGGCUUGAAUUAAUCUCUACCCCUCAUUUUGUGAAGACCCAUCUCUUGUUAUCCACUAGUAACAAGGACUACACUCACCAUGGAGUAAUGUUUAAGUUUGCUAGUACAUCUGACCACGGUGUCAAGGACUGUUCUCUUAGCGCUUUACUUUACGAUUCUGUAACUGAGGCAUUGGACUUGGAUUAUCCUGGUAAAAAUCCUAAUGGUUAUCCUUGUCUUGUGGGUUCUGUCAAUGGAUUGAUCUGUCUUUCCAUCAGUCUAUUUCACGGAUUAGAUGACUUGUUUAUCUGGAAUCCAUCAAUAAGAAGGUAUAAGAAACUGCCUAAUUAUAGGCUUAACUACGAUGAGGAGGAAGAGGAACCUGGUGAUUUCAAAUUUGGUUUUGGAUAUGAUGAGUUGCAGGAUGAUUACAAGGUAGUGGGUGCCUUCCCUAUUUACAGAUACAUAGCUCUUUGUCGUGUUGAGGUAAAAAUAUAUAGUCUAAGGAGUAAUUCUUGGAGACGUAUUGGUGAUUUUCAAGAUAGAGAGCUCAAGGAUCAUUCUGCCAAGUUUGUGAAUGGGAAACUUCAUUGGCUUGACAGGGGCCGGAACAUCAUUUCUUUUGAUUUGGCUGAUGAGAAAUGGGCAGAGGUAGAGCAGCUCUCUUGUUUUGAAGGAUGUGGAUGGUUGAAUCUAGGACUGUUUGGGAGUGAUCUUUCUGUAGUUAGUAAUUAUGUACACACUCGUGCAGAUGUCUGGGUUAUGAAGGAGUAUGGGGUAAAGGAAUCUUGGACAAAGAUGUUUACCAUCAAGUCUCCCGAAGAUGGACGGACAUUUUUUCCAUCCAUUUUAAUGUCAAAUGAAGGUGAAAUUUUACUUCAGUUUGGAUCACGUUUCGCGAAAUACAAUCCAAAGGAUGAUUCGAUCAGAUAUUUAAAUGUUACUAACUUAGCUUCAUGUAUUGAGGCAGAAAUCUUUGUUAAGAGCCUAGUUUGGCCCUUUUCAAGGAAUGCAACAACAAUGGAGGCUGAAAUAACUCAGCUGAAGACAAUCGUGUGAUUAAUAACCCGUAAGAGUUACAAUUUUCUAAACUGUUGUUAAAUACUGCGUCAUAUGGCAUUGGGAGUUAGUCAUUUUAUACUCAAUGGUACUGGACGUUGUUGCUCUUCUUGAGCUGUUUUUAAAGUGGAGCUGUUUUUAAACUAUAGAGUAAGAAUAGAGAGCACCAGAUACAUGGGAGAUGUUAUAGAUGAAUGCACCAAUAACACCUAAGUGUAGCCAUUAUAUUUUUUGAUCCUGGGGGUUCCUCUGACUAUUCUUCUUUUGGUGAAAGCUUAACACCGAAAAGGAAUUAUUUAACGAAGUUUAAGCUCUGAGAUAGUAUCUGGUUUUAGUGUUUUUCAUUGUUGCUAAUAGCUGGCUGCUCAUUUUCUUCUGGACUAUUUGGUGUUUUCCUUGCAGCUGACAGCUAACUUUGUAUUGUUCACUUCAAAACUGUAUUCUUAUUCUUCUAUUUAUUUGAUCUUACAAAGGCUGAAUCAAUUUUCACUUUAGCAGUAAUAUUGAUUAAAGCAAUAUCCAUCAGAAGGUUAAAGCAUUUUAGGAAAAAGCUAAUUUGCACUGCUAUCCCCCCCACGCCUGCCUUCUUAACAGAAAUCCAUGCUCUAUUACAAGAGCGGCCCUACUAUUCUGAAGGAUGUGGAUGUUUGAAGCUGGGAGUGUUUGGAGCGAUCUUUCUGUGUUUUGAAAUUAUGGAAGGACUCACGUAGAUGUCUAGGUUAUGAUAGAGUAUAGGCUAAAAGAAUCUUGGACAAAGAUGUUUACGGUCAAGUCUCCUGAUGAUUCUACGUGUAUAUUUUUUCCACCAAUUUUAAUGUCAAAUGAAGGUGAAAUUUUGCUUAACUUUGGAUCACAUUUCACGAAAUACAAUCCAAAGGAUGACUCAAUCAGAUAUCUAGAUGUUACUGGCGUUGGUCCAUGUAUUGAGGCAGAAAUCUAUGUUAAGAGCCUAGUUUGUCCCUUUUUACAGAAGAGACCACGAAUGCACCAACAACGGAGGCUGAAAGAACUCAGACGCGUGACUAAUAACCUCAGUAAUAUUUGAUGGAAGCAAGUAUGGAUUGGAAGGACAAAGCAUUUUAGCAAGCUAUUUUGCUGCUAUGAUCAUGAGAGUUGGGUUAGGGUACCAAAGAACUAUGGAGUAUAGGAGAGCUUUGUUUAAAAGAGGGCCUUGUAUGUGCUCUCAAAGUUGAAGUGUCUAUUUGUGUUUUAGGGAGCAACUUUAUCCAAGGUGAGGUGUCUAUAUGUGCACUCUCAAAGUUGGAGUGCUUACUUGCCAGCUGAGGCCAAGCUUGAGUGUCUGUUUAUUUAUUUAUUUUUGAAAUUGGUAAUAUUAUGCAUAGCUUAAAAGUGCAGACAUUUUUCAUUUUGUUAUUUUGAACGAGAAUUGUUUCCAUUACAGCUAAAUCUUUUUUUUUUUUUGGUUCUAAAUAGACCCUUAAAUUGUAGUAUCUAUCAUUUGACCCUUUUCCUAAAAGUUCUUAUACGUUUCAUUCUCUCUCUAAAAGUAUUAAUAGAAGGUAAUACGUUUCAUUCCUCAUCAAGUGACAGUUCCUUGUUUAGUGCAACCCAAGUGAACAAUAGCUAGUAGUACAUAUGAAAAAAUAAUUAGAGUUUGACACACAUGCAAGGGAGAUGAGGUGCAGGCCUGGUUUCUAUGAAAUCCAUCAAUUAGAAAGUAUAAGAAAUUGCCUUAUUAUAGACUUAAUCUGAGCCGCCAUGACAAUGAGGAGGAAGAGGAACCUGGUGAUUUCAAAUUUGGUUUUGCAUAUGAUGAGUUGCAAGAUGAUUACAAGGUAGUGGGUGUCUUCCCUAUUUACGGAUACAUACGUCUCUGUGGUGUUGAGGUCAAAAUAUAUAGUCUAAAGAGCAAGUCUUGGAGACAUAUUGGUGAUUUUUCAUGGUAGAGAUUUCUCGAAUGAUUCUGCUAAGUUUGUGAAUGGGAAAUUCCAUUGGCUUGACACACAAUGGAACAUCAUUUCUUUUGAUUUGGCUGAUGAGAAAUGGGCAGAGUUAGAGCAGCCCUCCUGUUUUAGAGGAUGU